UACCAGCACCCCGAGUGGUCGGGACGUUUAUUGGGCCUAAAGCAUCCGUAGCCGGUUCUACAAGUCUUCCGUUAAAUCCACCUGCUUAACAGAUGGGCUGCGGAAGAUACUAUAGAGCUAGGAGGCGGGAGAGGCAAGCGGUACUCGAUGGGUAGGGGUAAAAUCCGUUGAUCCAUUGAAGACCACCAAUUGCGAAGGCAGCUUACUACAUAGUUAUUGACACUGAGGCACGAAAGCGUGGGGAUCAAACAGG
rnacentral:rRNA from 1 species